GCUUAAGCUGCUUUGGAUACUUGGCCUCCUCAUCCUCAUGACACAGGAAGAGAGAUGUGGAGGAAUACUACUUCUCUGCCUCUUACAGUGCAGCUAUAUGGAAUGGUUGGAUGAAAUUUGCAAAUUUUCUACUUCAUCCCUUAUAUUUGAUUCCUGAAACUAGGUGACUGUCAACCAACAGCCAAUCAACCAUUUUCCCUAAAUUGUUCAAUCCUGUAGAAAAAAAUAAAAUCAGUCAAAACUAUUAGGUUAUUUAAAAGACAGAUAGACAAAUGUGUCCAUCUAAAAUCUAUAUAGAUAUCUUUAUAUUUCC
rnacentral:lncRNA from 1 species